GUCACUGCAGAGAAUAUGUAAAGGAAUCUGUGACUACAGAAUCUGUCCCUCUCAGUGAGAGGAAGAGGCUGGGGUGAGCAAGAGAGAAAUCCCAGCACAGAGGCAAUUAAAUGAGCCAGACAAGGAUCUCUGACUGCACCUUUCCCAGCUAAGACCAUACCCACAAUUACUUGGUACUGAAAACUUUUAGCCACCACUGCAGUUAUCGUGCUUGUUACCUUCACUCAGUCAGGAACAGAAAUGAUGCCAUUUUACCAGCGGGCAAUUGCUACUGUCCAGCACAGCUUACACUUUGGAACAGGAGUGCUGAAUACUCCCUGCUGCUCAUUAUGAACUAUUGGAGUAAAAAACAAAUGCAUUGCAACAUCUUCCUAUUGGAGCUACGUUGUCUGAGCCCCCAAUGAGAGGCUGGGGGCCAAGAGCAAAUGCAGUGGAGAUGGUUUUAUAUGUCCUGGGAGAGCUUUGGGAUUUGGAGGCAAACUGUGUAUUCAUUCCAGAGAGGAGCAAUGUAUCACCACCAUACAAUGAGUUGGAGGAAACCAAUAAAGGCAAGGGAAUCUCAGACCACCUUCUCUCUAGUUUUCCAUGGAACUGUGCAGCCUAUUUCUAGGGGAAGAAAUGCCAUUUUUAUUUACUUGAUGCAUCUGAGGUUUCUGAAAAGUCUAAAUUAGCUAAAGUGGCUAACAUGCACACACAGUACCCAAAUUUUCAUCUAAAUUCUACUCAGGUUUUUCAGUAUUUAGUAUUAAUCCAUAUUUGCAGAUUAAUGUUGCUUGCCACAAGUAGGCAAGCUAUUGGUUAAUACCAUGUCCGCGAACUGCAGGAGUGUCGCUUCAUUCAAACUUAAGUGAGGUGGAAUAGUUCAAGAAGGCCUGGUACCUGGAGUGCAAUUAAAACAAACAAGGUAGAAAAUACUGCAAACUGGCUGCCAUAGCAUUUUUGUUUUUGGGACGCUACCAUUAAGGAUACCUAACAUUUUUUUUAACUUAAUAUUCAAGCUCACAUUAAGCAUAGACAAGACACUGAGGUGAAUAGAUGAUGUGUGGGGAAUAUGUGGGCCAUAUGCCCCCCCCCCCCCAGAUUUCUGCUUGGCCUGCCAGGGUGGGGGGAGGGGCUCCGUCCUGCUGCUGUGCCUGUCCCCUGGCAUGUUCAGCCCCUGUCCCUGGCAGUCGGGCCUGGGCGGAGAUCGGAAGGGGAGAGACCCGCCGCUCCGGGUUGCUGUUCUGUGGCAGGCCACUCCCUGCCUGGGCCUGGUUGCUGGGGACAGGGGCUGAGCAAGCCGGAGUCCCCUCCCUACAUUUCUGGUUCACUGGGUCCCUGUCCCUGACAGCUGGGCCCAGGCAGGAGGGCUCCCUAGCCGGGCUCUGUUUCUCAGGCAGCUCUUGCACUGCACAGAGCAGUGACCUGGAGCAGCCAGCUUCAGCUGGUGUGAGAAGCAGCUUCCUUCUGCUC